rnacentral:rRNA from 1 species
UACGUAGGGUGCGAGCGUUAAUCGGAAUUACUGGGCGUAAAGCGUGCGUAGGCGGUCCUCUAAGUCUGAUGUGAAAGCCCCGGGCUCAACCUGGGAACUGCAUUGGAAACUAACGGGCUCGAGUGUGGCAGAGGGGGGUGGAAUUCCACGUGUAGCAGUGAAAUGCGUAGAUAUGCGGAGGAACACCGAUGGCGAAGGCGAUCCCCUGGGCCUGCACUGACGCUCAUGCACGAAAGCGUGGGGAGCAAACAGG